rnacentral:rRNA from 1 species
AGUGAACGCUGGCGGUAGGCCUAACACAUGCAAGUCGAACGGCAGCACAGUAAGAGCUUGCUCUUACGGGUGGCGAGUGGCGGACGGGUGAGGAAUACAUCGGAAUCUACUUUUUCGUGGGGGAUAACGUAGGGAAACUUACGCUAAUACCGCAUACGACCUACGGGUGAAAGUAGGGGAUCUUCGGACCUUGCGCGAUUGAAUGAGCCGAUGUCGGAUUAGCUAGUUGGCGGGGUAAAGGCCCACCAAGGCGACGAUCCGUAGCUGGUCUGAGAGGAUGAUCAGCCACACUGGAACUGAGACACGGUCCAGACUCCUACGGGAGGCAGCAGUGGGGAAUAUUGGACAAUGGGCGCAAGCCUGAUCCGGCCAUACCGCGUGGGUGAAGAAGGCCUUCGGGUUGUAAAGCCCUUUUGUUGGGAAAGAAAAGCAGCAGGUUAAUACCCCGCUGUUCUGACAGUACCCAAAGAAUAAGCACCGGCUAACUUCGUG